rnacentral:rRNA from 1 species
GACGAACGCUGGCGGCGUGCCUAAUACAUGCAAGUUGAGCGCUGAAGGUUGGUACUUGUACCGACUGGAUGAGCAGCGAACGGGUGAGUAACGCGUGGGGAAUCUGCCUUUGAGCGGGGGACAACAUUUGGAAACGAAUGCUAAUACCGCAUAAAAACUUUAAACACAAGUUUUAAGUUUGAAAGAUGCAAUUGCAUCACUCAAAGAUGAUCCCGCGUUGUAUUAGCUAGUUGGUGAGGUAAAGGCUCACCAAGGCGAUGAUACAUAGCCGACCUGAGAGGGUGAUCGGCCACAUUGGGACUGAGACACGGCCCAAACUCCUACGGGAGGCAGCAGGAGGGAAUCUUCGGCAAUGGACGAAAGUCUGACCGAGCAACGCCGCGUGAGUGAAGAAGGUUUUCGGAUCGUAAAACUCUGUUGGUAGAGAAGAACGUUGGUGAGAGUGGAAAGCUCAUCAAGUGACGGUAACUACCCAGAAAGGGACGGCUAACUACGUG